rnacentral:rRNA from 1 species
UACGUAGGGUGCAAGCGUUAAUCGGAAUACUGGGCGUAAAGGGCUCGUAGGUGGCCAACUAAGUCAGACGUGAAAUCCCUCAGCUUAACUGGGGAACUGCGUCUGAUACUGGAUGGCUUGAGUUUGGGAGAGGGAUGCGGAAUUCCAGGUGUAGCGGUGAAAUGCGUAGAUAUCUGGAGGAACACCGGUGGCGAAGGCGGCAUCCUGGACCAACACUGACACUGAUGAGCGAAAGCCAGGGGAGCAAACGGG